GACGAACGCUGGCGGCGUGCUUAACACAUGCAAGUCGAACGGAAAGGCCCUGCUUUUGUGGGGUGCUCGAGUGGCGAAAGGGUGAGUAACACGUGAGUAACCUGCCCUUGACUUUGGGAUAACUUCAGGAAACUGGGGCUAAUACCGGAUAGGAGCUCCUGCUGCAUGGUGGGGGUUGGAAAGUUUCGGCGGUUGGGGAUGGACUCGCGGCUUAUCAGCUUGUUGGUGGGGUAGUGGCUUACCAAGGCUUUGACGGGUAGCCGGCCUGAGAGGGUGACCGGCCACAUUGGGAAUGAGAUACCGCCCAGACUCCUACGGGAGGCAGCAGUGGGGAAUAUUGCACAAUGGGCGGAAGCCUGAUGCAGCAACGCCGCGGGCGGGAUGACGGCCUUCGGGGUGGAAACCGCUUUCGCCUGUGACGAAGCGUGAGUGACGGUAAUGGGUAAAGAAGCACCGGCUAACUACGUG
rnacentral:rRNA from 1 species